rnacentral:lncRNA from 1 species
ACUUAAUUAACUAAAAAGUAGGAGCCCAAAAUGAUAAAAUUCGAAACCCAUUAUUAACCAAUAAUAGAAGCCCAUUUAUAUAAAUUUGAAGCCUAUUAAAUAAAUAAUGGGAGCCCAAAAGAAAGCCCAAAACAAUAAAAAUAAGCUUUAGCCAAGGAUUGGCCCAACAAAAUUCAACAUCUCGUUCCUUCUCCCUCAAUCUCGGUCCCUCUCUAUUUUCUAUCACAAAUCACGCCUAUCUCUCACGUCUCUUUCUCUCUAUCUUUAUUAAAGUAAAAUGCUUUUCUCUCAUUAUAAUUAUCGGUUCUCCCCCUUUUUUUUUAUUUAAAGCUUAACAUUCUCU